AGGACAAACGCUGGCGGGGUGCAUGAGACAUGCAAGUCGAACGAGGUGCUAUCGGGCUUGCUCGAUGGUUACCGAGUGGCGAACGGCUGAGUAACGCGUAGAUGACCUGCCCGGAAGUGGGGAAUAACUGCCCGAAAGGGUGGCUAAUACCGCAUGUGGUCGACGAUUCGCUUCGUCGUCUAAAGGAGUAAUCCGCUUCCGGAGGGGUCUGCGUCCGAUUAGCUAGUUGGUGGGGUAACGGCUCACCAAGGCGACGAUCGGUAGCUGGUCUGAGAGGAUGAUCAGCCAGACUGGGACUGAGAACGGCCCAGACUCCUACGGGAGGCAGCAGUCGGGAAUUUUGCCCAAUGGACGAAAGUCUGAGGCAGCAACUCCGCGUGAGGGAUGAAGGCUCUAGGGUCGUAAACCGCUUUCAGUAGGGAAGAAAUGACGGUACCUACAGAAGAAGGUGCGGCCAACUACGUGCCAGCAGCCGC
rnacentral:rRNA from 1 species